UAACGACUCUCGGCAACGGAUAUCUCGGCUCACGCAUCGAUGAAGAACGUAGCAAAAUGCGAUACUUGGUGUGAAUUGCAGAAUCCCGUGAACCAUCGAGUUUUUGAACGCAAGUUGCGCCCGAAGCCAUCCGGUCGAGGGCACGCCUGCCUGGGCGUCACGC
rnacentral:rRNA from 1 species